rnacentral:rRNA from 1 species
GGAACUGCGUUNUGAACUGGGUAGCUAGAGUAUGUCAGAGGGGGGUAGAAUUNCACGUGUAGCAGUGAAAUGCGUAGAGAUGUGGAGGAAUACCGAUGGCGAAGGCAGCCCCCUGGGAUAAUACUGACGUUCAUGCUCGAAAGCGUGGGUAGCAAACAGGAUUAGAUACCCUGGUAGUCCACGCCCUAAACGAUGUCGAUUAGCUGUUGGGCAACUUGAUUGCUUAGUAGCGUAGCUAACGCGUGAAAUCGACCGCCUGGGGAGUACGGUCGCAAGAUUAAAACUCAAAGGAAUUGACGGGGACCCGCACAAGCGGUGGAUGAUGUGGAUUAAUUCGAUGCAACGCGAAGAACCUUACCUGGUCUUGACAUGUACGGAAGAACUCAGAGACGAGUUUGUGCCUUCGGGAACCGUAACACAGGUGCUGCAUGGCUGUCGUCAGCUCGUGUCGUGAGAUGUUGGGUUAAGUCCCGCAACGAGCGCAACCCUUGUCAUUAGUUGCCAUCAUUUAGUUGGGCACUCUAAUGAGACUGCCGGUGACAAACCGGAGGAAGGUGGGGAUGACGUCAAGUCUUCAUGGCCCUUAUGACCAGGGCUUCACACGUCAUACAAUGGUCGGUACAGAGGGUAGCCAAGCCGCGAGGUGGAGCCAAUCCCAGAAAACCGAUCGUAGUCCGGAUUGCACUCUGCAACUCGAGUGCAUGAAGUCGGAAUCGCUAGUAAUCGCAGGUCAGCAUACUGCGGUGAAUACGUUCCCGGGUCUUGUACACACC